rnacentral:lncRNA from 1 species
UGCAUAGAAAUGUUAAUUUCUCGACCCACCACUAACAAGCAAAUAACAUGAGUACAGGAAGGCAGUUGUUUGCAACAAGUGUUGCUUUCUUGUGCGGGGCUCACUGGAGUGCUUGUUGUGUCUCCAGGACGUGCCACUGGAUGGCGCUGACUGGGCUCGAUGCCUGGCGGUCGCCCCCGCAUGGGGUGCUUGGGUUCGGCGUGCCUUUCGUGCAGCGGAGGAGACCCGCCGGCGUGAGCUCAAGGAUGAGCCCCAGGCUGAUGCCACCUCCUGGCUCUGGGCCAGGGACGCUCUGACUGAAGCUAUCAAGGCAAACUGCUCAGGCCGUGCGUCGCAGCAGGGCAACGCCCUCCUGGCCCUUUGCGCCCUGCUGGAGGCCACCACCGAGCACCUGCAGGGUCUGGACACUGGCGCCCGGCGACAGGCAGCACGCACUCACACUGCAUGGGUGCAUGCCCUGCUGGACCUGGUGUUGGAGUGCUGCGGACUAUCACCCUCCCGUCAGGAGCCCUCAGAGAGGGCGGGCACCCUUUCUUUCCAGUGGCUGCUCAAGGUGAUUCAUUCUUUCUGUCGCCACU